ACCCUGGCUGUGCCCCCGCCACGCCCACGCCAGCCUGAGGCCACAAGCAGCGUAGCUCUGCCCGUCUUGGAGCUUAGAGAGGCCAUGCCACCCUCAGUCCCUGGCUCUGGCACCCUGGUGGCUCAUCUCAGCCUGGGUGGCUGGGUGUGCGUGUGGGAACUGGCCCCUUGGCAAUUCCUCGGUGGGAGGAACAGGGUCCUGGGAAAGGCCGGAAGCUCCCUCUUUGCUCGCUGACCUCUGCCCAGCUCUUGCAGCGAUGACUUCUCCAGGGAUGCAUCUGUGGGUGGUAGACUCUGGUGGUUUCUGCAUGUUCUAAGAUCCUGGAGCCCAGGACGCGAGCCAGUGCCAUGAGACUCACAGUAGCCGUGUACAUGAGGGACGUCCACCCCAGACGACGGUCACCCCUGUGGGUGGAACCUGCACUUCCAUCGCUUCUGCCCUGCUUGAAGACGCCAGCAAAUACAACGUGGACAUCAAAGCAAAGAGCUGCCUGAGCUUUUGAGAUCCAUACAAACUGAUUGUCUUCCCCCGAAGCAGGCUGUCAUUUUCCCUUACUUAAAGAGGGGUGACUUAUGGAAUAUAAAUUGGAAGAGAAGUUUAUCUGGAUGAAUGAGGUUUGGCU
ensembl:lncRNA